rnacentral:rRNA from 1 species
UGCGUAGGUGGUUUGAUAAGUCAGAGGUGAAAUCCCACAGCUCAACUGUGGAACUGCCUUUGAUACUGGUUGUCUUGAGUUAUAGUGAAGUAGAUAGAAUAUGUAGUGUAGCGGUGAAAUGCAUAGAUAUUACAUAGAAUACCGAUUGCGAAGGCAGUCUACUAACUGUAUACUGACGCUAAUGGACGAAAGCGUGGGGAGCGAACAGGAUUAGAUACCCUGGUAGUCC